AAUUGAAAUUUAUGAUCUGCUUAUCUGAAUAUGUUAGUGCAGAAACACUUAAAAAGCUGGCAGUGUAAAGCAAUGUUACAAACCUUAAGAACUUUGAAGUCAUUAAGGUCCCUGAAAAUGGCUAUAACA
rnacentral:snoRNA from 1 species